rnacentral:rRNA from 1 species
UGAGGGAAUAUUUGGGGUCAAUGGACGAGAGUCUGAACCAGCCAAGUAGCGUGCAGGAUGACGGCCCUAUGGGUUGUAAACUGCUUUUAUAAGGGAAUAAAGUGAGCCUCGUGAGGCUUUUUGCAUGUACCUUAUGAAUAAGGACCGGCUAAUUCCGUGCCAGCAGCCGCGGUAAUACGGAAGGUCCGGGCGUUAUCCGGAUUUAUUGGGUUUAAAGGGUGCGUAGGCGGCCGAGUAAGUCAGCGGUGAAAGACCGGGCUCAACCCUGGAAGUGCCGUUGAUACUGUUUGGCUGGAAUGAUCCCGCCGCGGGAGGAAUGAGUGGUGUAGCGGUGAAAUGCAUAGAUAUCACUCAGAACACCGAUUGCGAAGGCAUCUCGC